rnacentral:rRNA from 1 species
UGAUUUCAAGUYUGGCCUGCCCGUUGAGGAGUUUAAAGGCCGCGGUAUACUGACCGUGCAAAGGUAGCAUAAUCACUAGUUUUUUAAUUGGAAGCUUGUAUGAAAGGUUUGAUGAGAAAAUGACUGUCUCUGAAGGAAUUUGUUAGAAUUUUAUUUUUAAGUGAAAAAGCUUAGAUAAUCAUGGAAGACGAGAAGACCCUAUAGAGUUUUACAGGAAUACAGUGGUUAAAGAUUAGGAAUUUUAGUUUAAAUCUGAUUGUUCUGUUUUGUUGGGGUGAUAGGAAAAUUGGAUUAACUUUUCUUUAUAUUAAUAUUAGUUUAUAGAUAAAUGAUCCUAGAUUAAGAUUAAAAGAUUAAAUUACCUUAGGGAUAACAGCGUUAUUUUUUUUAGAGUUCUUAUCGAAAAAAUAGAUUGCGACCUCGAUGUUGGAUUAAAAUUAAUUGUUGGUGAAGAAGCUAAUCAAUUAGGUCUGUUCGACCUUUAAAAUUUUACAUGAUC